AUUAAACGACUCUCGGCAACGGAUAUCUCGGCUCUCGCAUCGAUGAAGAACGUAGCGAAAUGCGAUACUUGGUGUGAAUUGCAGAAUCCCGUGAACCAUCGAGUCUUUGAACGCAAGUUGCGCCCGAAGCCUUCGGGCNGAGGGCACGUCUGCCUGGGCGUC
rnacentral:rRNA from 1 species